AUGAAGAACGCAGCGAAAUGCGAUAAGUAAUGUGAAUUGCAGAAUUCAGUGAAUCAUCGAGUCUUUGAACGCACAUUGCGCCCCCUGGUAUUCCGGGGGGCAUGCCUGUCCGAGCGUCAUUGCUGCCCUCAAGCACGGCUUGUGUGUUGGGCCCCGUCCUCCGAUCCCGGGGGACGGGCCCGAAAGGCAGCGGCGGCACCGCGUCCGGUCCUCGAGCGUAUGGGGCUUUGUCACCCGCUCUGUAGGCCCGGCCGGCGCUUGCCGAUCAACCCAAAUUUUUAUCCAGGUUGACCUCGGAUCAGGUAGGGAUACCCGCUGAACUUAAGCAUAUCAAUAAGCGGAGGA
rnacentral:misc_RNA from 1 species